GACGUAGGGCGCGAGCGUUAAUCGGAAUUACUGGGCGUAAAGCGUGCGCAGGCGGUUAUGCAAGACAGAUGUGAAAUCCCCGGGCUCAACCUGGGAACUGCAUUUGUGACUGCAUGGCUAGAGUACGGUAGAGGGGGAUGGAAUUCCGCGUGUAGCAGUGAAAUGCGUAGAUAUUGGAAAGACCACCGAUGGCGAAGGCAAUCCCCUGGGCCUGCACUGACGCUCAUGCACGAAAGCGUGGGGAGCAAACAGG
rnacentral:rRNA from 1 species